ACUCAAAUGAAUAGACGGGGGCCCGCACAAGCGGUGGAGCAUGUGGUUUAAUUCGACGCAACGCGAAGAACCUUACCGGGGCUUGACAUCUGCGGAAAUCCUAUGAAAGUAGGCUUCGGGGCAACCCGACCGCAAGACAGGUGCUGCAUGGCUGUCGUCAGCUCGUGCCGUGAGGUGUUGGGUUAAGUCCCGCAACGAGCGCAACCCUUGUCGCGUGUUGGUCCACAAGAUCUCUCACGCGAGACCGCCGGUGAUAAGCCGGAGGAAGGUGGGGAUGACGUCAAGUCAGCAUGGCCCUUACGUCCCGGGCUACACACGUGCUACAAUGCGCGCGACAACGAGCAGCGAACUCGCGAGAGUAAGCCAAUCUCUUAAACGCGCGCUCAGUUCGGAUUGAAGGCUGCAACUCGCCUUCAUGAAGUCGGAAUCGCUAGUAAACGCAGAUCAGCUACGCUGCGUUGAAUACGUUCCCGGGCCUUGUACACACCGCCCGU
rnacentral:rRNA from 1 species